UACGGAGGGUGCAAGCGUUGUUCGGAAUUACUGGGCGUAAAGGGCUCGUAGGCGGCCAACUAAGUCAGACGUGAAAUCCCUCGGCUUAACCGGGGAACUGCGUCUGAUACUGGAUGGCUUGAGAUUGGGAGAGGGAUGCGGAAUUCCAGGUGUAGCGGUGAAAUGCGUAGAUAUCUGGAGGAACACUGGUGGCGAAGGCGGCAUCCUGGACCAACACUGACGCUGAGGAGCGAAAGCCAGGGGAGCAAACGGG
rnacentral:rRNA from 1 species